AUCCAGCUGACGAGUCCCAAAUAGAACGACACGCGGCGUCCUGGAU
rnacentral:hammerhead_ribozyme from 1 species